rnacentral:rRNA from 1 species
AUGAAGCUGGAUUCGCUAGUAAUCGCGCAUCAGCCACGGCGCGGUGAAUACGCUCCCGGGCCUUGUACACACCGCCCGUCAAGCCAUGGAAGCCGGGGGUGCCUGAAGUGCGCUGCCGCAAGGAGCGCCCUAGGGUAAAACCGGUGACUGGGGCUAAGUCGUAACAAGGUAAC